rnacentral:snRNA from 16 species
AAAUUGGAGGGGACGAUAAAGAUUCAACGAAAGAUGAUGAUGACGAAAAAGAACUAGAAAAGGAAUUCGCUAAUUGGCAGAGCAAAGUUGGCAUGGAUGCCACCAAGAUCAACGACUCUCUAAACCCA